ACUGACUAGCUAAGUAACAUAACUCAUUUCUGUAUUUUUUAAAGGUGUGUUUCAACCCUAAAGGCAAUUGCAUACUAACAGCCAGUUCUGAUAAAACAGCUCGGCUCUGGGAUGCUGCUACUGGACACUGCCUUCAGAUAUUAGAGGGUCAUGCUGAUGAGAUCUUCUCCUGUGCUUUUAACUACAAAGGUGACACAAUCAUUACAGGGAGCAAGGAUAACUCCUGUAGAAUCUGGCACUGACUGAAGAAAAGGAAGGAUCCAGUUUGAUGUAUUCCUGCCUACUUUGUGAGUUUCAGACUCAAUAAACUCAGCCUUUCAGAUUGGUU